rnacentral:tRNA from 1 species
GGCGAACGUGGUGUAGUGGUUCGCGUGUUGGACUAUGACUCUGGAGACCAGGGUUCGAUUUCCUGCUUAGCCA